CGCGCGCGCGCACCACAUCCCGCGUCCCGCGUCCGGGCCGGGCCGGGCCGCGGCUCCCUCUUGCCACGGGCUGCCCGGCUCCGGGCGCCCAGAAACUCCCUGCUCUGCACAGACUUUGCUCCCCAAGUUUGCUUCUCUUGCACUCUCUUUACUUGUCUCUAUCCCCCCUCCCCUGCCUGACACUGGAUCAAAACUAGGACAGGGGAUGGCACUGUCACCCAGAGGGAACACUCCCAAGGCUUUUACCAGUUUCUCCAGCCUUGCCUCUGUGGAUUUCAUAAGCUCUGUUUCUCCAAGUGAUGCUUCAGUGUCCCCUGUGAUGGAAUCCAUUAUGUGUGAGCAUCACCAUGGUUUUGAACUGUGCUGCUGUACUCCCUCAUCUGAAUAAAGAGGAACCAGGAUUUUGCCUUGAUCUGUGCCUUCUGGGAAAAUUAGGGUUGAGUAUAAAAGCCUGACUGUAAUGCACUGAAGACAGUUCUGGCGUACAAGAAGAUAGAGAGAAAGAGGUUCUUCCAAAGGCAUGUGGUGAGUCCUGCUUUUUCUUGGAGUCAAAAGCAGGUGCCUCUUGCUCAGGUAGUGUACACAUGUUGCUGGGACCCGAUCUAUGAUCUAUGAUCAUGCAGCUUGUGAACACAUUUGCCAGUGCCAGAGGAUGCAUCAGGAGUGCAAUCUAACCGUUGUCAGUUUCUGAGUCACAGAAGCACUUGCAGGUACGGCUCUAGAGGAUUUGGGAAGAAAGGGAAGAAGAAAGGAGCUGCAAUUUUUUUACAGAAGAAGAACAUAAAGAAAAGAAAGGUGUUCCUAAGUAUGUAGCCUGCAGCCUUGUCAGGUCAGCACUGAACAGACGGUUUUGAACAGAUCAGAAUUCCUGUAAUGUGACCACCAUUGCUGAAGACCUGCUUCUGUGGAACUGGAGAGGGACGAAGAUUGAAGCAGGAGACAAAGACCUUGUGAAGGAAGUUUAUCAUCCCACUAAAGCUCUGCAGAAAAGCCGAUGAAGAUUUAACACAAUCUGGAGUUACAUUAAAUUCUGUAGUUCAUUUGGACUUUAAAGGGAGGUCUAUGGAGCAGCAGCAACCAGACUAAAUCCAACUGAGCCAUAUUGUGAGGGAGCCGAGAGGAACCACAACAGACUUUGAGGCAAUGUAGAGGCACAGGGCCUCAAAAAAGAUUCUGUGGGACACACAAUGGGAGGAAAGUCACUACCCCUUCUUCCUGAGGAAAUGACGUGUGAGGAGCGCUGAGCGGUGCUCCUCAGAGAGUCUUCUGUAAUGCAUUAACCUUUCCCCCGUGGAUAUUUCCAAAGGAGGAGAUGUUGUAGGCAUGUAUUAACUUUUUCCUCAAGAGUCUUUAAAGCAGGGUUAACAAUAUCUCUGAACAGAUCAAAUAAUAAUAAUAAUAAUAAUAAAUCUUAGAGACACGUUAUACUGGAGAAAAUCUCUAUUUUCAGUUUAUGUAAUUUAUGUCCUAGAGAACAACAAAGAAAAAUGAAAAAGCUCUCAAGAGACAAUGGGCUCCAUUCUGUCCUCAUAUCCAUGGCUUUGUUACAAGUGGGCACUGGUCCAGUUUCUGUGCUCAGAGUCACACGUGCAACUUCCUCUGACUUAAACAGAGCAUAUAUUUUUAUAGGGAGAAUUUGGUCUUUUCUAUGUAUGUAAAUUACCAAGAUUUAUUUAUUAUUUGUAUUGUAGGACAAGGAUCAGGGCCCUAUUGUUCGAAACCUCAUGAAAACAUGGACUUUUAGAAAUAGAAAUGUUACAUUCUAGGGAAGUGACAUCAUAUGAAGGUUGGGAUGAAGAAGACAAAGAACUAUAUACAAUAUACAAGAUAUAUACAAAAAUAAUUGUUUUGCUAACUAAAUACAUGCAUAUUUAGAUUUGUAAUUAUUUAGAGAAACAAAUAUUUACUUUCUUCACUCAUCUCUCCGCGCUCUGCUGCAGUUGCUCCUCUCUCUCUUUACAUUUUGUCAGAUUUCUUGUAAGAUUUGGAAGGAGUAGACAACACUAGCUUUAUGAUAGCUUUAGGAGUGUAGUGGGGGGUGGGGAGGAGGAGGUGCAGAGCAAACCAUGCAUAAGGAGGGGCAAGGCAGAAUUCUGUGGGAGAGGCUGUGCAGAUUAUCUCUUCCUUUUUAUUUCUACAGUUUUUGCUAUUGAAGGCAGGGCAGAGUAUCUCUAAGGUGCCAUCCUGCCAUACGCUUUGGCUGACAUGGUUAGCAUGGCUAACUGCCUCUCCUCAUUAUUGAAAGAAUCUCAGAAUCACACGGCACUUAUACAUAUACUCUGGGCAUAGGGGAGGGGGGACACUUUAUUAGAGUGGCUCCGAGAGCCACUUUCAUUAAAGUGCCCAAAGCAUCUCAUGUAUCAGCAUCCCUGUGCUUAAAAAUGGUGGCAGGAGUGCUUUAACUAAAGCUCAUUGAACAUGCUUUAGUUAAAGUGCUCUUGCCACCAUUUUAAGUGUGGGGACACUGAUACAUGAGAUGUUGGAGUCUGCUGGAGUAUGGUAAUUAUCAUGCUGUAGCAGACUCAAUUGAGUUUGUUCUGAUGCGCUGUAAUUAUAGAGCGUCAGAGCCACCUCGCUGCUUGUGUACAGGUGCCUAUACAAUCUUAAGGUUGAAAGGGAUCUCAAGGGCCAUGUAGUCCUGUGAAGAGGAGUCCUGUGGAGGGGGGGAGGGAGGCGGGGGGCAAAGGAGGAGUCCUGUCCCUUCACAGAUUCAGGAUUUGCUAUUUCUUACCUGUCUAAUGGACAUCUAUCCAGCCUCUUCUUUAAAGUCUCCAUGAAGGAGAUUGCACUACUUAUGGAGGCAGCUUGUUCCAUUGUCCUACUGUUCAUAUAUUAGGGAAUCUCAUUUCAUCUUAAGCUGUUUUACUGAAGUUUGGACACAUUGUCAAGUGUCAGGCCUGCUAUGACAAGGGAGAACAAUUUUUUCCCCUCUUUUUUAUGGUAGCCUCUUAACUCUGAAAAAAUGCUGUCUUGUACUUCGUUCAUUUCCUUUUCUUCAAAAUAAAUAUACCUGAUUCUUUCCAUGCCAUACUGUGAGCAGAUCAAUGGCUGGUUCAAACAAAAGGGCCCUAGGUGUCCAUCCAAUAUAUAGAGGGAGGGGGGCAAAGGAGGGGGGGAAAGGUUGAAAAGGACAUUAAGCUCUCAGCAAAGAAAGAACUGAGACAAUAUGGCAUGCUUUUCUCUCUCCUGAGCCCUGGGAUGCUACUCAAUGCAAACACUAUGUGGUUGGGGUUCUGCAGAUUUUGAAGGAAAUUGUAUCAGGACAGGGAGCAGAGCAAAGACAUAACUGCUUCAUAGCCCACCCUAGACCUGGCACAUGUCCAAAGGGAAGUUGAAGUAGGAAUUAACAAAUAUGGAACUGGUAACAUUCCAGCUUAUCCAGAACACAUUUUCCAGGAUGUAUGGUUCUUGUUUUUAAAUACAUGAAUAUGAUAUUUAAUGCCUAUGUUAUUCAAUGUCUAGGAAAUAUCUUAACAUUUUGAUUUUGAGGACACACAUAUACUGUUUCAUAGGCCAUUCUCUCUCAUUAUGUGAACUUGCAUUCUUUCUAAAUGCAGUGCAUACACAUGCAUUAAAUUCUUUUUCUUAACUUUCUGAGUGUUAUUUUACUCUAAAUAGCAUAGCUCUGAAAACUGCAAUUGCACACAGUGUAUAUAGUGUUGAAUAAAAAUGAAACAUGA